rnacentral:rRNA from 1 species
GUGCAGCAGGCGAGAAACCUUCGCAAUGCGGGAAACCGCGACGAGGGGACUCCCAGUGCCUACGCUCAGCGUAGGCUGUUCCCGAGCCUAGAAAGCUCGGGGAGUAAGGGCUGGGUAAGACGGGUGCCAGCCGCCGCGGUAAUACCCGCAGCCCGAGUGGUGGCCACUAUUAUUGGGCCUAAAGCGUCCGUAGCCGGCCCGGUAAAUGCCUGGGGUAAAUCGUGAGGCCUAACCUCACGAAUUCCGGGUAGACUGCCGGGGCUAGGGACCGGAGGAGGGAGAGGGUACUCCGGGGGUAGGGGUGAAAUCCUGUAAUCCCUGGAGGACCACCGGUGGCGAAGGCGCUCUCCUAGGACGGGUCCGACGGUGAGGGACGAAAGCCAGGGGAGCGAACCGGAUUAGAUACCCGCGUAGU